rnacentral:rRNA from 1 species
UACGAAGGGGGCUAGCGUUGCUCGGAAUCACUGGGCGUAAAGGGUGCGUAGGCGGGUCUUUAAGUCAGGGGUGAAAUCCUGGAGCUCAACUCCAGAACUGCCUUUGAUACUGAAGAUCUUGAGUUCGAGAGAGGUGAGUGGAACUGCGAGUGUAGAGGUGAAAUUCGUAGAUAUUCGCAAGAACACCAAAGGCGAAGGCAGUGUCCUGGGGAGUACCUGACGCUCAGGUGCGAAAGCCAGGGGAGCGAACGGG